rnacentral:rRNA from 1 species
GAUGAACGCUGACAGAAUGCUUAACACAUGCAAGUCGACUUGAAUUUGGGUUUUUUAACUUAGAUUUGGGUGGCGGACGGGUGAGUAACGCGUAAAGAACUUGCCUCACAGUUAGGGACAACAUUUGGAAACGAAUGCUAAUACCUGAUAUUAUGAAUAUAUGGCAUCAUAUAAUUAUGAAAGCUAUAAGCGCUGUGAGAGAGCUUUGCGUCCCAUUAGCUAGUUGGAGAGGUAACGGCUCACCAAGGCGAUGAUGGGUAGCCGGCCUGAGAGGGUGAACGGCCACAAGGGGACUGAGACACGGCCAUUACGCCUACGGGAGGAAGCAGUGGGGAAUAUUGGACAAUGGACCAAGAGUCUGAUCCAGCAAUUCUGUGUGCACGAUGACGUUUUUCGGAAUGUAAAGUGCUUUCAGUUGGGAAGAAAAAAAUGACGGUACCAACAGAAGAAGUGACGGCUAAAUACGUG